ACAGGUCUUCAGUCUCCGACUACUUCUACGAGAUCAAAACGGAGUGGAACGGCAAAGCCAUCAAAGAUCGAACUUUGUACUCCUUCAGCCUUGAAGGAUUUGAGGAAGGAGUGCAGGUCAACAUAACUGGUCCAUUCUUCGACGAUCCUGCGCCCUCUGCCGAUGGCCUGCAUCGUUCUGAUGAGUUCGAAAUUUUCGAGCUUCAAUUUUCGAACGACCGCGGCGAGUCAGUAAGGCUCGUGUUCAGCCNCGU